rnacentral:misc_RNA from 1 species
UGCUAAUUGUUAUAGAGACAAAGUUGUUCCCUUGUAGUUUUUGUGAAAAGAUUUUUAAGAACUGAAAAGGUAGCCACCAAGAAAAAGGAAUAAAUGAAACUAUGCAAAGCCAAAAGGUCACAUUCCAUUUCCAACAUAUGGGCUCUCAAUUCAAGCCAUUGAAGGAAAAACUUGCCUUGCCUCCAUCUUCAAAUGGAUGGAGAAAUUGCAGUCAACUAAAACUGGUGGUAGCACUGUUCACAAUUUCAGUGAUCUUUACACACGCACUCACAUACAUGGUCAUUUGGUUGCAGGAUAGGGGAGGUUUUAUAUGACGGAUUAUGAAGGAAAUUAAGCAUAAAAGGUGCUUUUUAGUGAUUCCAAUUCAAGAAAUUCAUUUUCAAGGAAUGAACUAAACCCAACAAAGAAGGGAACCCAAAUUUUCUUGUAAUGAAAUUGCAGAACAAUCAAUUAGUUUUGAUAGUUGAGUAGUAAUGCAGUCUUGUUCAACG